rnacentral:lncRNA from 1 species
CUUCAGUAUGUCUACUUGAAUAUUCAAAAAAUCAUCAGCUAGUCUAAUUUGUUUUUUUUAAAGUCAUGUAAAAGACUGAUUUGCUUUGACAGGUGGAUCAGAAACAGAAUUGUAGCUAUUUUAUCUGGACCUACUUAAACAACCUUCAUUACUGGCAGCUCCUUGAACGUUAAAAAUCUGUAGAAGCUAGCUGAGAAUUUUGCAAGCGUGUCUGAAUGCCGAAUCAACUGAGCAGCUCCCUGGCUCCUGCACAUGCAAAACAUUUGAAUUUCCUGUUGGCUCAGAGUGUUUGCAUUGCAAGUGACAUCUGGCUGACAGCAACCUGGAGAAAUGGGAUAUAAAGUGAAUGCUGCAGUUACCACGGUAUCAUAUUUAUCAAAAGGCUUAAGCUACAGAGACAGAUGCAGAGCUGAACUCUGGCCAUUUGUGUGUGGGAAACCAAAGUGAAAGUCCAGUUGCUUUGAAGCUCUGUGAAGGCUGAAGGUAGAAGGUCAGUGAGACUUCCUAUCUUAAGAAUUGCCAUAGUGUCUUAUCUCCUAGUGAUAAUACUUGAUCUUGC